UGAUAAUGGCUCUGCAUAUUUCAGAUGGGUUGUUUCCACUCACUUCUGGGAUAGCAGACAUUCCCAAAAUGAUGCGUCCUGCUGCCGCCCCCUGCCCCCGCUCCGAGUCCUGCUCUCUUACGGAGUGUGGGCGUUUGCCUUAAUUGGUGCUUCCUACACUAUUUUAAGGCUGAAUGCUCUUUCAGGAAAAACAAAUGGACUACAAGAUCCUUGCAACACAAGCAAGUAUUAUUAAAUGCUUCUCUCCCACAUGCCGCUCAUCCAUAGCCCUUUCCCUUGCACCAACUCAAUGAGCAGGUGAUUUCAAGCUGAUCUGAUGUCUCCUGGUUGUAAGGCCUUUCUUUGGACAUGCUGUGAUCCACCUGAGGGGUGGCUUUGCUCCAGGGUCAUCUGAAACUCUCUGGCUGGCAUAUGCAGUUUGUGAAAGGUGCUGAGAGUCGUUUGCCUAAGAGCUUAAUAAAAUUAAACACUGUGACAACUGCUGUGGUCAAAGCAACAUCUGCUUCCUCUGAAAUAUCACAAGCUUGGAACAUACCGGGCCAGAAGAGACAGAAUUGGAGAAAAAAAAAAAUCUUCUAAAGUUAAAAAAACAAAUACCCUUCAGCAGCUACAGUGCGUCAGCGGUACAUCCUGGCACCGAGGCUGGCCGAGCGUGGGCACAUGCAUGCCUGCAUGCCAGGAACGCCGUGCUGGCCAGCACUCGGCCCUGGGAGCUGCACAUGGUCCCUGCAGACCCAGCUGCUGCCUUACGUCCUUGCCACCAUGCAGGGAACCCCUGGAGCUGGUGGGGCAGGAGGACCCCAUGCCACGGAGCAUCUCCUCGUGCCUCAGGUCCUCCCCUGUCAUAUCAACCUCAUGGGUGUGUGUGGCCAGACCCGAAGCAUGGGGACUGUGACUAGUGACACAGAAACCUGGAAUUAUGUUUGUUAUGGGCAAAUAGCCAUAUAAAUGCCGAUAUACGUUCUUGCAUACUCCAGUCUCAGGCAGGACUAUCUCCACACAGUAAAGUCAGGUUCUCUGGAUAUUUCUAUAUCUCUUGCGCUUUUGUUGCCCUCCACAGGAGGCACAAAGUGUCUCCUCCUGCACCUCCAAUCCCUUCCCCUGCUGCAGGAAAGAAACAUUUGGAAAAGUUGUCAGCCUGAUCCUCCUUCUCCUCGUUAAAUUUAGCACAAGCUUGUAAAGGGCCAUCAGGAACAGCAAUGAGAGAGCUGCAGGUUUUGGUUCAUGGUUAUCUACAAGGUCAGAGAGAAGUACAGCCUGUGUUAGUGAAGGUUCUUCAGUUCUCAUGCAGUUUAAACAAAGAGGAGUAUGUUAAAAAUAAGAAAAACAAAAUGUGUUAGUCAGUCCUAACUCUCACAAACCUAAACACCUUCCUAUCCUGCUGCCCGAAAUUGCGCCUUCCAUUUGCAAUAUUGAUAAAAUAUAAUCAGCUACAUUUAGAUUGGAUAUUAGAAAAAAUUCUUCACUGAAAGAGUGUUCAGGCAUUGGAACAAGCUGCCCAGAGAGGUGGUGGAGUCACCAUCCCUGGAGGUAUUUAAAAGACGUGUAGAUACGGCACUUCAGGGCAUGGUUAAGGAGAUAUGGUAGUAUUGGGCUGACAGCUAGACUUGAUGAUCCUAGAGGUCUUUUCCAGCCUUAAUGAUUCUAUGAUUUUAUUCUAUGAUUUAAUGGCAGUUAGCUUUGAUGAAGGCUGGGAAUGUCAAUGAACAACCUGCCACCAUGCAGGACUCCCAAAACAUACCUCCAUCUAAGUGGGGAUCUCCCCGGGGGUCUCCAAGCUAAUGGCAUCCUGCUUGACAGAGAAAGAAGCCAGAGAAAUUUCAAGCUAAGAGUGUUUUACCAUCUUUUGUUCUUUUUUUUCCUCUUUUUCUUUUUUAUCUUUUCCUUCUCCCUUUCUUCUGCCACCCACUCAGCAUUGCCCUCCCUUUGCUUUCAGUCCUCUCCUGCACUCUGUCCCCACCGCUGUGCAUGGGUUUUGGGCCUUCUCCUGACCCCUUUCACUGAGCCUCCUCUGUUUCCGUGCCAGACCACCUUCAUCCUGACCCUGUCCAGGCUCCCUUUGGUCUCUCAGGCUCCCUGCCUUCAGCCCAGUCCCCCUCUCCCUCACGCCAGGUCCCUGCCUGACUGUGCCACUGCUGGGGGACAGCCCAGUGGGUGCUCCCUUUUCCACCCCCAUGGCGGUGGUACACAGUGUAGCAGAGUGGCAAGAACAAGCAUUUUCUACAGCAUGAGAAAGGGGAGCUAGAUGACAGACCAACAGCACUGCUCAUCACCCCUGAGGACAGCCAACACCUCCCUCGGGCUCAGCUCCAGCCUUUGUCCCAUCUCAUUCCCUGUCUCCCUCUCCCUCUUUUUCCCUGCCUUAGUCCACGUCAUUUCCAUUGCAACCAGAAUACACUCACUCUUUCUUUUCUUUAAUGGACCUGCGCUGAAAUGUGUCUUAACUGUAUUUUUAGCAAAAAGCUUGGCAGCCUGGCAGCCCCUGGGCGUUUUGCCACCUUGAACGAAAAAUGUGCAUUGGCCCGAUAAGAAUUACAAUGGGGUGCUCCGGGACAGUGAGUGGGGAGCACCCUGCCGGCUGCCUACCAGCUCCAUGGGGAAAGAGAGGACUGCCCCCAACCAAUGCUUGCCCCCCCAUCCCAUGCCCUGCCAUGCAGGAUCGCUUAACACACCCCAAGUUGACCUCUUGUAUGCCCUUAAAGGUAUAUGAGGAGGGGUUCCUGGGGAAGCCAUGGGAGUUAAGUGGAAGAAAGCUGUGGCGUGGCUGGAAUAGGGGUAAUUGCUGGGUGCAACGGUGCUGCAGGCAACAUUAACGCAGCACCUUGUCCCAAAAAGCUGCCUUGAUGAGUGUAGCAACCAGGUAAAGAUGGGGACAAGCGCAGCUCCCAGCACCACAGCCUGAGGGUGGCUCCUUUCCCUUUGCUUUACCCCUUCAGCAGCACCGGGGCCAGGGGCGAGGCAGUGACCCCCUUCACAGGCAUGGCGUGAGAUCUGGGAGCCGGCACCAUUGGCCCCAGUGCUGUGGUUGGCACUGUUUGCUGGGGGUUGUUGUCCGCUGACAUGUCAGACAAAAUAUUUGCAAGUGGGGAUGGCCUGCCAUGGUGAUUUCCAGCUGCAAUCAAUAAG